AGGCUGGAAUACCCGUUCUUAGUGGUUCCUCCCAUCUCUGAGAGUCUACGUUCCAAGCUGCUCGGAUAUCCACCCCCCCGCCCCCAUAAUAUGGUUGAUCUGAACCAAACACUACAUAAAACUAAAGCCCUGGCUUCCGGCCCAAGAGCCCUCCCAGAAAGAUACCUGUAAUACCGCCCGUAAUGAUGGGCUUACACAUUAAAGGCCAAUUGGCAAAAAAGAGGGACUUAGAUCGGGGGAACACCAGAAGUUAGCCGAGUACCAGUCGUUUUAACGAGUGUAGUUUAUAUUCAGAGAAAUUCUGGCAAAUAUAGCCCUUUCUAACAUGACAAACAGCGAAGAACAGGAAGGCCAGAAUGCAUAAAGGGGGGUGGGGUGUGUGCGCGCUAACAUUUCUGACCAAACCUCGAUAUUUGCGCCCUCUGCUCUGAUGUCCCUCAUUGACCACGAGGGUGCUCCUGCUUUAGCCAGUGGCUCUGCGAGCUGUAUUUUAUAAACAGGGGAUCCCAGGCACCCAAAUAACCAGGUCGACGCCCCCAUCCGGACCAGAGGGGCAGUUUCCGGUUGUGUCCUGACCGCUGGCCCUCGUCGCGCCUGGAGGUGACCGCUGUACACCGUCAAGACCCACGGUCACUCGUCCAGAGGAAGAAAAGAAGCAAUCUCAGCAGAUGCAGGGCCCGGCGCGCCGGUGGUGGAGUUUCCAAAAGCCCUACAGGUGAUGCCACCCCGACGCCCCGCGACGCUGGCCCUGGGUAGUCUCGACCCUCUCCGGCUCCGCAGCUUCCCCCGACCCCGCGGGACGGCCGGGGCUUCGGCGGCGAGACUUGGGAAAGUGUCCCCUGCUCUGCGCACCUCCCUCGCUGCGCGGACCGCGCGCUGGAUGCCAGAGCCACGUGGGAACCCGUGUCCCUCUGGUGCAACUUGGGCGCGGACAUCACGACGGCGCUUCUUGCUGGCAGCACUUUGGUUUCGGAGGAGGAGGAGGAGGAGGAGUCAGGAGUUUGGGGGCGCAGAAAGGACGCAGCAGUGCUGGGCGCCAGAGGCCAGCUCACCCGGAGCUGGAGGACACGUUUGACAAAAUACACGAGAAAUCCCCCCGGGCAUUUCCUUUUCUCAGCCUAGAAACCUCGGGGUCUAGGUUAGCUUAAAUAUCCCAAUCAAAUCAGAGAAAAAUUAUAAAUAAAAGAUGAACAAGU
rnacentral:lncRNA from 1 species